ensembl:lncRNA
UUUCACAAUUAAUUUAAAAGAAAUGGUAUUUUCUUGUGAAACGUAGUCCUUGAUUUAUAUACAAUUAUUGUAUAGGCUAUAAAAAUACUUUUAUUUACAACAUCAAUUAUUAUUAUUAUUAUUAUUAUUAUUAUUACAAUGUAUUUACAGGAAUUUAAUAUCAAAAUUGAACAUGAGUAAGCACAACAAUGCCAGUACAAAAUAUAUUUAUUGAAUAUGUAAAAUAUUUUAUAACUAAUAUAUAUGUAUUUAUUAUUUUGUCUUUUUAGUGUGUGUGUGUGUGUGUGUGUGUGUGUGUGUAUGAGACUUUUAUAUUCCAACAUCUCUUGUGCAUUAAAUGUCGAAGUCAUCUGAAGGCAGACGUCUGAACUUACUGUAAAGAUCAAAAUAACAGGCCUUCGAGGUGUUUCCCGUGACGUGACGUUCUGUAUAUUUCUCUGGUGUCCAGGUCUCAACACCGCAGAGGAAAUGAAGGCCGUAAUGAGCGAUCUGUUUAACAGUCUGUCAUCAGAUCUGGAAUCAGCGGCCGUGAACCCGUCACCUUCACGUCUACAGCAAACGCUCAAGCAGAAAUCGUGUGUUGACUGAGAAUGCAUGACAUAUGAACCUAGUCCUCAAACAACAAGAAGAACCACAGCAAUUGGAAGGAUCUUGAAUUACAGCAUGAGGAGGGUUGUUAAAACAAAAGCUGAGCGUCACAUCAGAAAGACUCGCUCACAGCAGCGUCCCUGUGCCAGGUGA